rnacentral:rRNA from 1 species
UACGUAGGUGGCAAGCGUUGUCCGGAUUUACUGGGCGUAAAGGGAGCGUAGGUGGAUUUUUAAGUGAGAUGUGAAAUGCUCGGGCUCAACCUGAGAACUGCAUUUCAAACUGGAAAUCUAGAGUGCAGGAGAGGAAAGUGGAAUUCCUAGUGUAGCGGUGAAAUGCGUAGAUAUUAGGAAGAACACCAGUGGCGAAGGCGACUUUCUGGACUGUAACUGACACUGAGGCUCGAAAGCGUGGGGAGCAAACAGG